CUCAGAUUGAACGCUGGCGGCAGGCCUAACACAUGCAAGUCGAACGGUAACAGGAAGAAGCUUGCUUCCUUGCUGACGAGUGGCGGACGGGUGAGUAAUGUCUGGGAAACUGCCUGAUGGAGGGGGAUAACUACUGGAAACGGUAGCUAAUACCGCAUAACGUCGCAAGACCAAAGAGGGGGACCUUCGGGCCUCUUGCCAUCGGAUGUGCCCAGAUGGGAUUAGCUAGUAGGUGGGGUAACGGCUCACCUAGGCGACGAUCCCUAGCUGGUCUGAGAGGAUGACCAGCCACACUGGAACUGAGCCAGGAUCAAACUCU
rnacentral:rRNA from 1 species